GGGGCUCAGAAAAAGCAAGAUCUACUGAAUAGGGAGCUACAUUUCUUCUGUGAGGUCUGAAACAGCAGAUGAAAGAAAAUCGAACUAGUUCGCACCACUGCUUUUUGAAGCAUUGCACUGAUAUUAGAAGAGAAGACAGAGGUGCACAGAUGAAGCCGAUAACUUAGAAGAACAUCCCUUAUGUAGUUAGCAAGCUCACCUAAGAAAAUUACAUGGGGGCUAAAAGUCAAAAAGGCACCUGAAAAGACUUGCAUAGUUUACAAGGCAUUUUUGGGAAAAGUGGUUUAAAUGACUGUUUCUCAACUGUGAAACUUUCCCUUAGUUCAUUUCCUCCUGUUUGGUGUUAAAUGAAGAGAAUCGACUUUGUGUUUCUUGGACACAAAGAAGUGCCUCUCAUUGAAGUGAACUUAAGCUCAGAAAGUGGAGACAUCACUGAGAUUUAGUUCAAAAGUGCACUCUGAGUACAACAGUCAGGUCAUUUUUGCCUUAUAUCUGUCAAACCUGAAACUUGAUAAUACCAGGACAUUCAUCUGUACUUCUGUUCCCUUGCCAGUUAGAAGGGAGGCACAGAAUUACCUUCUGAGGUCCUCUAAGCCAUGGAAGCAAGCUUGAGGAGCGUAGCCAGACUCUCCCUGCUCUUGGCCAACAUUUCAUGCUGGACAAGGUUGUUACACUGUUUGCCAAAUCUGUAUUUCCCCCUUUGGAUUUACCACCUCUGAAGGAGUAUGGUAAAUUAUCUGAUGACAUGGGCUAUCAACAUGAGAAUACAGUUCUUGAAAAUGAUCUCAGAUACUUACCUUCCAGAGAAAACAUUGGACUUCAGUGUGUAUAAAGUAAAAUUUGCAUGUAAUACAUGCAGAAUUUGCAAGAUUAUGCUGUCUACAUGAUAAUCAGUUAAGUCACAUAGUGACACCAUUCUUAUUGAAAAGAAGUAGGAGACAAGUAAGAAAACUAGAAGAAUCAAUAUAAAUUUAUUUAUUUAUUCCAUCACAGCUUCUUAUCUUCUGCAAAGUCCCAGUGUUCUAUGUUCAUGUUCUGUGAUCAUACUCUCUGGAAUCUGAAGUAAAUGCAACUUGAAACUACUUUGUGUACAUUAGUAUCCAACAUUAUGUACAGUAACUGAAGAGCCUACAGUCUGUAGACAUUUAAAAGCAAAACAGUUUGUUCAUGCAGUUUGUUCAGUUUGUUUUUGAACAUUUUGUUCAUCUUUGGACAGGCAGCAAAAAAAAAAAAAUAAAUAUAUAUAUAUAUAUAUAAA
rnacentral:lncRNA from 1 species